UUGAACGCUGGCGGUAUGCUUUACACAUGCAAGUCGAACGGGCUAUGGGGCUUGCUCCAUAGUUAGUGGCGAACGGGUGAGUAAUAUAUCGGAACAUAUCCGGAAGUGGGGGAUAACGUAGCGAAAGUUACGCUAAUACCGCAUAUGCCCUGAGGGGGAAAGGGGGGGAUCGCAAGACCUCUCGCUUUCGGAGUGGCCGAUAUCGGAUUAGCUAGUUGGUGAGGUAAAGGCUCACCAAGGCGACGAUCCGUAGCUGGUCUGAGAGGACGACCAGCCACACUGGAACUGAGACACGGUCCAGACUCCUACGGGAGGCAGCAGUGGGGAAUUUUGGACAAUGGGGGCAACCCUGAUCCAGCCAUGCCGCGUGAGUGAAGAAGGCCUUCGGGUUGUAAAGCUCUUUCAGCCGGGAAGAAAACGCAUGGGUUAAUACCCUGUGUGGAUGACGGUACCGGAAUAAGAAGCACCGGCUAACUACGU
rnacentral:rRNA from 1 species